CUCGUAGGCGGUUCGUCGCGUCCGGUGUGAAAGUCCAUCACUUAACGGUGGAUCCGCGCCGGGUACGGGCGGGCUUGAGUGCGGUAGGGGAGACUGGAAUUCCCGGUGUAACGGUGGAAUGUGUAGAUAUCGGGAAGAACACCAAUGGCGAAGGCAGGUCUCUGGGCCGUUACUGACGCUGAGGAGCGAAAGCGUGGGGAGCGAACA
rnacentral:rRNA from 1 species